GUGGUGGUGCCCGAAUGGUUAAGGGGGUGGAUUGCAAACCCACUAUUUGUCGGUUCGAUUCCGACCCACCACU
rnacentral:tRNA from 1 species